UUAAAGGCUGGCGGACAAGCUGUCUCCUAAUUGGGGUGUGCUGGAGCAUGGUCCACUAGCCCCCUGAGCCCCUCACCCCUGGGGGCCAGGACACUCCACCCAUGUCCACCGACUAAGCAAAUGCCCGUGGUGUGGCCAGCAGUGAUCCAGGGGGCCUGGUGGGAGGGGGCAGGCCCUGGAGUGGGGAGCAGGUCCUUCAAAUGGCCCCUAUUGGCAUGCAGUGGAGGUGGGGAGGGGUUCUUGGGUUAGGGAGGUGUCCAGGCACUGACCUCAGCCACCUGGCUUCUUUCUCCAGAUAAAUGCUUGGAUGGGGCCAAGUAGGCCACCCGGCCUCCCAGCACGCCCCCACCUGCCUGCUCCACGCUUUCCUCCAAGACCCACGGAGAUGCUUCGAGACCCAGCCUCCCGAAGCCGCCACCUCCUGGCUCUUGUUCUGCUGAGAAAUAAAAGCCAUUGCAGCCCCGCGCCA